CAUUGGACCCUCGGACAGCCUCACCUGAGCAUCUUCUUGCGUUGGAGGAAGGCACAGAGAGCGGGUAGGAGGAAUCAAGCCCCGGUGGGCAGGAGCAGGCCAGCUGAUGGGAACAGCAACACGGGGACUUUGGGAGCUGCAAGUCCCAACAAACACUGCAGCAGUGGCAACAAUUCCGCUUUUGUUGAGGGACAUGCGAGUCUGUUUGUUUGGGCACGGGCUGUGGCCCUUUGUGUUAACAAUACAAGCUUUUGUUUCAGCACAGCUUUUGAAGUCAGAAGGCAGCAUUGGUCCAGGUUCUAAAGCCAAUUUGCUUUAAAUGAGGCUUAAAGGAGCAAAUGGGGCCCUUGAAGCUCCUGUGCAGCCCUACGCUGUUGGUAACACCGUUGAAGGUAACGUUGAACAGUAACACAGCUGCCCACGGCUUGUGCUUGUUGUCAGCAGCUGAAUCUCUCCAGAAAAGGAGAAUUUCAGUGGAUAUCAAGUCUGAAUGUCCAAGCAAUAAUCCCCUGCAGCCUGGUCGUGCACCCCUCAGAGACGAGGUCCAAGCUUCUGCACUGGUGUGUCUUCCCUGAAUGCCCCUGUGAUGAAGCCAAGGCUUCGUUUCAGCCCUGAGGAGCCUAACAAACACCAAACGGCCAUCAGUGUUCAAGGUUUUAAGGAUUUGUUAGGUGAGAAGUGUUUGGAGGUAUCCAGAUAUCCCAUCCUUGAAUGCUCUGGGGACUCUCAGGGUGAGGUGGAACAGAUCUGUGAAGGCAUCGGAGCGCUUCUGCAACACGCCUUCCCUUUGGGUUUCAUCUGGGAGCCAAAGCAGGGGACUUCAAAGCUCCAAGAAGCACGUUCCUGAGCUAAAAUGAAGCUCAGAUGUGGACAGAGGACCAAGCUUCAGAUGCAGGCAGGUUAAAAGAGGGUUUCCUGGCUGCUCCUGCUCCCAGGUACUUGUGCCAACGUCCUCAGCUCUGCCGCACGGGUGGUUAAGCUCCCACGGAGCAGCUGCUCAACAGCUGCAGCUUACUCAUCCCAUAUGAAAGAAACCCCCAAAUCUCUGUGAAAUUUCCAGGGGUUUAACAGCUGCUGCCUGAGCCAGGCUGUCUGUGCCAUGUACACGGGGACGCUGUUGGGGGGAAGAGGCAGGCCAGACAGCUGGGAGCUGUCAUUCCUACAGCCGCUUACUUUUUCAUCUGCCUUUACUCACGUCAGAGCCUUCUGAGUGCAAAUUGGAGAGCGGAGAGGGCCUUUGGAUUGCUUUUCCUCCCCUUUUCUCACCCCAGCCCCGCGAUCGCGGUGCGUCGUGGGAGCCAAAGCCUGUCACCAAAGGAUUUAUUUCAGGGGAGGCUUGUCGCUGGGACAGACCCCGGGAUGUGCUGGAUCUUCUGGGAAGGCCGAGGUGUCCUGCAGAGACGAGAAACUCUUGAGGGAGGAGAGCCACUAAAAAUCAGGAAAUUGGUUGUGUACUUUGAAAAACCCACGCGGAGCCAUUUGCCAGAGGUUCUGGAGGGUGUUUAAAAUAUCCCCACAUUAACAGGCUGUGGUGUGACCGACUGGCCAGCCGUGUUUGCCUGGGGAGAGGAAAGGUUUUAUGCCCAGGACGUAGCGGGGAAAAGUCUGGGUCACCGGCAGGGUUUCGUUUACCUCAGUCAAUAAUGAAGUGGAGGAUAAAAUCUGUGGUAUUGCUGGGAUUUCACCUAAAAAUGCCUUGUGCAAAGACUUACUUUUAUUUCCUGGCGUUUUGCAUUCUCUCUGCAUUUAGAAAAAUAAAACGAGUCAUUAAUCCUUAAUCAAAA